rnacentral:rRNA from 1 species
GGGCCCGCACAAGCAGCGGAGCAUGUGGUUUAAUUCGAAGCAACGCGAAGAACCUUACCCAGACUUGACAUCUCCUGAAUUAAUCGUAAUUGAUGAAAUCCCUUCGGGGACAGGAAGACAGGUGGUGCAUGGUUGUCGUCAGCUCGUGUCGUGAGAUGUUGGGUUAAGUCCCGCAACGAGCGCAACCCUUAUCAUUAGUUGCUAACAUUCAGUUGAGCACUCUAGUGAGACUGCCCGGGUUAACCGGGAGGAAGGUGGGGAUGACGUCAAAUCAUCAUGCCCCUUAUGUCUGGGGCUACACACGUGCUACAAUGGUGGGAACAAAGAGAUGCAAGACCGCAAGGUGGAGCCAAACUCAAAAACCCAUCCCAGUUCGGAUUGUAGGCUGAAACUCGCCUACAUGAAGCUGGAGUUGCUAGUAAUCGCGAAUCAGAAUGUCGCGGUGAAUACGUUCCCGGGCCUU